AGAGUUUGAUCCUGGCUCAGAACGAACGCUGGCGGCAGGCUUAACACAUGCAAGUCGAACGAUAUAGUGGCAGACGGGUGAGUAACGCGUGGAAACGUGCCUUUCACUACGGAAUAGCUUUUGGAAACGAAAGGUAAUACCGUAUACGCCCUCCGGGGGAAAGAUUUAUCGGUGAAAGAUCGGUCCGCGUUAGAUUAGCUAGUUGGUGAGGUAACGGCUCACCAAGGCUACGAUCUAUAGCUGGUCUGAGAGGAUGAUCAGCCACACUGGGACUGAGACACGGCCCAGACUCCUACGGGAGGCAGCAGUGGGGAAUAUUGCACAAUGGGCGCAAGCCUGAUGCAGCCAUGCCGCGUGAAUGAUGAAGGCCUUAGGGUUGUAAAAUUCUUUCGCCAAGGAUGAUAAUGACAGUACUUGGUAAAGAAGCCCCGGCUAACUUCGUGCCAGCAGCCGCGGUAAUACGAAGGGGGCUAGCGUUGUUCGGAAUUACUGGGCGUAAAGCGCACGUGCGGGUUAUUAAGUCAGAUGUGAAAUCCCAGGGCUCAACCCUGGAACUGCAUUUGAAACUGAUAGCCUAGAGUUCAGGAGAGGUUAGCGGAAUACCGAGUGUAGAGGUGAAAUUCGUAGAUAUUCGGUGGAACACCAGUGGCGAAGGCGGCUAACUGGACUGAUACUGACGCUGAGGUGCGAAAGUGUGGGGAGCAAACAGGAUUAGAUACCCUGGUAGUCCACACCGUAAACGAUGAGUGCUAGUUGUCUGCAGGCAUGCCUGUAGGUGACGCAGCUAACGCAUUAAGCACUCCGCCUGGGGAGUACGGCCGCAAGGUUAAAACUCAAAGAAAUUGACGGGGGCCCGCACAAGCGGUGGAGCAUGUGGUUUAAUUCGAAGCAACGCGCAGAACCUUACCUACGCUUGACAUGCCCGGACGAUUUCCAGAGAUGGAUCUCUCCCUUCGGGGCCGGUGCACAGGUGCUGCAUGGCUGUCGUCAGCGUGUCGUGAGAUGUUGGGUUAAGUCCCGCAACGAGCGCAACCCUCAUCCUUAGUUGCCAUCACGUUUGGGUGGGCACUCUAGGGAAACUGCCGGUGCUAAGCCGGAGGAAGGCGGGGAUGACGUCAAGUCCUCAUGGCCCUUACGCGUAGGGCUACACACGUGCUACAAUGGCAGUGACAAUGGGAUAAUCCCCAAAAGCUGUCUCAGUUCGGAUUGUCGGCUGCAACUCGCCGGCAUGAAGUUGGAAUCGCUAGUAAUCGUGGAUCAGCAUGCCACGGUGAAUACGUUCCCGGGCCUUGUACACACCGCCCGUCACAUCACGAAAGUUAGUUGCUCUUGAAGUCGCUGAGUUAACCCUCGGGAGACAGGCGCCGACAGAGUGGCUGGCGAUUGGGGUGAAGUCGUAACAAGGUAGCUGUAGGAGAACCUGCGGCUGGAUCACCUCCUU
rnacentral:rRNA from 1 species